rnacentral:rRNA from 1 species
GCGUGGGAGAAGGCUCGGUUGUAAUCUUGGGACAGAGGUCCUGAAUAGCCACGGUAACUCUGCCACGCCCGUACAGUGGCAGCUUGCCGGAUUUAUUGGGUUUAGCGUAGGUGUAAGUCGGUGAAAUACCCGCUACCGGGGUGCACUGUGCUGAGUGGGAGGUGCGGAAUGAGUGUACGGUAAAUGCAUAAUAUUCAAAACACCGUGCAAGGACUAGUGCGGGGAUCAAACAGGAUUAGAUACCCUGGUAGUCCGCACAGUAACGAUGCACUCGUGUUCGCAAGAAACCGAUAAGGCACCUGGGGUCGCCGGCAACGGAAAAAGGAUGACUGGCGCAAGCGGUGGAUGGGUUAAUUCAUCAGAACUCGCUGAAGUGCGGUGAUGC